UUGUAGCUAUAUAUAUUAUAAUAACCAGAUGUCGCGUGGUUCGCUCGCAGCAAGCUGCUCGCGUGUCUUGUUUUCCCGCCAUUUUUUUACCGCGAUAGAAUUUGACCAAGACUUAAAUAGGUGUCGUGAAAUCAAAAAAGUUCUAGGUGCUAUAGUUUUGCCAGGCCGUAGGGUGACCCCUGAUGCGGAGCAGUUUUCCAAGAUGACGUUCCGAUCACACCCCAAUACAUCAUUUUUACCUCUGAGACAUUUUCUGGAAAAACAAAAAUUUGUAUGGCGGCCAUCUUGUUUUUCGGCCAUUUUGUUUUUUUUUCACUGGCGAUAAAAUUUGACCAAGACUUUAAUAGGCUUCGUGAAAACAAAAAAGUUCCAGGUGCGAUAGUUUCGCCAGGCUGUAGGGUGUCUCCCUGAUGCGGAGUAGCUUUCGAAGAUCGAAAAGUAUUUCCAUACUCAACAUGAUGUUUCGAUCACAUUCCUCAUACAUCAUUUUCACCCCCGAGGCAUUUUCGGGAAAAACGAAAAUUUUGUAUAGCGGCCAUCUUGUUCUUUCGCCA
rnacentral:lncRNA from 1 species